GUAUCUUAAGCUUUGCUUAGUGUUGGGUGAUUGUCUGUAUGUAUUGCAGACUCGCCUUGAAUCUAUUGGCCGCCGAUAGUCUAGUAUGCGAGCGCAGCACAUUUGCGCACCGUACCCGUCUUAUUAGCCACCAUCAAGUACAAUAUCAACGU
rnacentral:misc_RNA from 1 species